GGGAUGUAGCUCAGUUGGUAGAGCAUUAGGUUCGCAAUCUAAGGGUCGGGGGUUCGACUCCCCUCAUCUCC
rnacentral:tRNA from 1 species